rnacentral:misc_RNA from 1 species
GAUGAAGAACGCAGCGAAAUGCGAUAAGUAAUGUGAAUUGCAGAAUUCAGUGAAUCAUCGAAUCUUUGAACGCACAUUGCGCCCGCUAGUAUUCUAGCGGGCAUGCCUGUUCGAGCGUCAUUACAACCCUCAAGCUCAGCUUGGUGUUGGGCCCCGCCGCCCCGGCGGGCCCUAAAGUCAGUGGCGGUGCCGUCCGGCUCCGAGCGUAGUAAUUCUUCUCGCUCUGGAGGUCCGGUCGUGUGCUCGCCAGCAACCCCCAAUUUUUUUCAGGUUGACCUCGGAUCAGGUAGGGAUACCCGCUGAACUUAAGCAUAUCAAUAAGCGGAGGA